AGGCAGCAGUGAGGAAUAUUGGACAAUGGGCGAGAGCCUGAUCCAGCCAUGCCGCGUGCAGGAAGACUGCCCUAUGGGUUGUAAACUGCUUUUACAGAGGAAGAACCACUCCCACGUGUGGGAGUUUGACGGUACUCUGCGAAUAAGGAUCGGCUAACUCC
rnacentral:rRNA from 1 species